UAUAUUUUUGGAGCAAGAUAAUUGGUUAUUUUUCCUGUCAGUCAGAACUCUUGAGAAGUGGGUGGAGCUAGCAGCUGCGUUGUGAGCAGCAGGGGGGCAGCAGGAGAGAGAGAGAGAAGGAGCGAGAACUAAGCAGAGUCAGCCAUGCAGCACAGGAGCUGUUUGUGCUCAAUAUAAGUCCAAAAUGUGGCUAACGGCCAGUUUAAACCACUUGUGUGACUUUUUGUGACAUCUUUGAUGAGGACACGGACAGUGUUUCUGACGAGCCCAGUGAGCUACAUAGAGCUUGAGAGCUGACGAGGGAGCUGUUUCAUGACUUCUUGGCUGUUCCACCAUUCCAUGAGCAUCGCUCUCAGCCUAAACUUCUACUAGACUGCCUAAACUACUGCCAGACUGCCUAAACUACAACUUCGCUGAUUCUACGUCGUCCUGCUUUCACCAGACACCCAGAACAUUCUCUAGAGAGGUCGUGAGUACUGAGUGUGCACAAACAAAUAUUUUAUUUUGCUUACUUUAAGUAAGUGAAGCGGCUAUUAAAGUUUUGAGCCUCACCGUACCCAAGCCACGACUCAGGCCUGCAACUUUUUGUUUCUUUUAUUUUUCUAUUACUUUUCUGAGUGUGUGUGAGUGUGCGUGUGUGGGCCCACAAGUUAGGUAUUUCUUUGUUUAUUUGUUCAGAGCUGUUACAUUUUUUGGAUAAUAUUUUGGGUUAAAUUAUUGUUAAUUAGUAUACUGGAUAAGCUGCAACACAUAUGUCUAAAACCUGUGAUACCUGAUCUGCCAAAAUUCAUACAAUAAUCUGAGUAAAAGAAAGGUAGCUAAGCAUUAAAACUCAUUUUUUUGGUUAAUAGAGUGUUCAUUUCAUUAAGUACUGGUUAUUUAUUUAUUUAUAUUUCUUUAUUUUCCUUUUUGAAUAAUCUCUAUUAAAAUAGGCUGAGUGUGUGAAACGGAGAGAUUUCUAAAAAAUAGAGUAUACUAAGUCUACUUAUUUUGUUUAUACAAAAUUUGAAAUGCAUUAGUCUGUACCAAUAAUCAUUGGGACCCAGGGCCCUGCCUUUAAUACAUAAGUGGUUAGGCAGGGUGUUACACAUACAU